CCCUUAGAUGUUCUGGGCUGCACGCGCGCUACACUGAAGCUAUCAACACGUUUUCCCUCCCUGAGAAGGGCGGGUAACCUUUUGAAUCAGCUUCGUGGUAGGGAUCGGGGCUUGCAAUUGUUCCCCGUGAACCAGGAAUUCCUAGUAGACGCGAGUCAUAAGCUCGCAUCGAUUAAGUCCCUGCCCUUUGUACACACCGCCCGUCGCUACUACCGAUUGAACGUUUUCGUGAGGCAUUUGGACCGACGCAUCUCAGUUUAACCGCUGGUUUGUGUUGGAAAGACUUCCAAACUUGAGCGUUUAGAGGAAGUAAAAGUCGUAACA
rnacentral:rRNA from 1 species